rnacentral:rRNA from 1 species
UACGUAGGGGGCAAGCGUUGUCCGGAUUUAUUGGGCGUAAAGAGCGUGUAGGCGGCCAGGUAGGUCAGCUGUGAAAACUCGAGGCUCAACCUCGAGACGUCGGCGGAAACCAUCUGGCUAGAGUCCGGAAGAGGAGAGUGGAAUUCCUGGUGUAGCGGUGAAAUGCGUAGAUAUCUGGAGGAACACCGGUGGCGAAGGCGGCAUCCUGGACCGGUAUUGACACUGAAAAGCGAAAGCCAGGGGAGCAAACGGG